ensembl:rRNA 5S_rRNA 5S ribosomal RNA
AAUAUUUGGUAGAGACUGUGAGGCCACCUGGUCCCAGCAGAUCUCAGAGAACAACCACAUUCGCUGGUGCUGGAAGAAAGUCUUUAAGGGUGAAGCCAAGUGCCAGAUGCGU